rnacentral:rRNA from 1 species
UACGUAGGAGGCGAGCGUUGUCCGGAGUUACUGGGCGUAAAGGGUGCGCAGGCGGCGUCACGCGUGGAUAGUUGAAAUCUCCUGGCUUACCUGGGAGGGCGGUAUCCAGACGGUGGCGCUUGAGGGUCGGAGAGGGGGGUGGAAUUCCGCGUGUAGCAGUGAAAUGCGUAGAGAUGCGGAGGAACACCGAUGGCGAAGGCAGCCCCCUGGGCCAACACUGACGCUCAGGCACGAAAGCGUGGGGAGCAAACAGG